UGCAGAGUGUGCCCAGGCAUUGCUUUG
rnacentral:piRNA from 1 species